GGCGCCGUGGCUUAGCUGGUUAAAGCGCCUGUUUAGUAAACAGGAGAUUCUGGGUGCGAAUCCCGGCGGUGCCU